GGAAGAGAAAGGGGGAAGGGCUGGAAGGACACAGAGCUGCUGGAGGAGUUUGGCAGAAAGAGCGUGGAGAAACAUUACAAAAUAAAAGGUGCAACUUCAAAGUAGAUGCAGGAACAGAGGGAUCUGGAAAUAUACACUUGUGCAUAAGUCAUUGAGUGGGGACCAGGACACAAGAAACAGAUUUGAAAAAUAACGGACACGUACAAGAUUCUUAAGGGGCUUGACAGAUAAAUGUUGACAGGAUUUCUCCCCUCAUGGAAGUCUCGGACCGGAGAACAAGUCCCAAAAUUACAGGGGCACCAGUUUAACAGUGUGAUGAGAAGGAAUUUAUACAGCUGCAAGUCUUUGGAAUUCUGUGUCACAGAGAGCUGUGGAGAGAGUCCUUGUGUAUAUUUAAGGCUGAAAUAGAUUCUUGUUGAUGAGGGAAAAUAAGGAAUAUUGGGAAAGGCAAGAAAGUAGAUUUGAGGAAUGUCGGAUCCUAUUGAAUAGUGGAGCAAAUCUGAGGGGCUGAAUGGCCUAUUUCUGUUUCUAUUUCUUCUAAUCUUAUUGUCUAAACAGCAUGAA